UAUCUGUUCCAGUUCUCCUGAAUUCCACUUCUGUGCAUUUUCUAGAUUUCCCUCUUGUCCUGGAUUGCUUUCCAUCUCUUUCUGACACACAGAGCUCCUGUAAGAGCAGCAACAUCAGCUGAAGUUCUGCUGGAGAAGUGCUGCGGAAUUUCCUGGGAAUGGACUGGAACUCUUCCAUUCCAGUUCUCCCUGGGAGCCAGGAAGGUGUCCAUGGUAUGGGCUGGGAAUGAGCCCUGCCAAGAGGCACCAAAUGACACCAGCCCCAAGGCUCCUGACACUGCUUCACUCCAAAUUGCAGCUUUGCUCCCGCUUUGAGGUGUUUGUUCCUCCCAGGCUGGGAGAGAUGAGGGCUCCAGGAGGGAUGAACACACCUGGCACAGUGAGGAGCUGCUGUGACGGGCAAUCACACAUCAGGCGUUUCCUGAGCACAUCCUGCUGCUGGGAUUUGAUUCCCUGACGCAUUCGUGGUUUAUCUGUUUGUUUGGAGAGGUGCCAGACAAAAGAGACACAGAAAUUUAAAUAAAUGCAGGUUAUCUAGAAGACAUGAUUUCAUAUUCACUUCAGGCAUAUCAAGAUGUUCCAGAGCUGAGAAGAGUACAAAGAACGAUGUGAGUGCUGGGAGCAUUGAUAAAUUAAUUGUACACAGCACUGAGCCCAGCUCUGAAGCUGAUUUUUUGCUGUAAUUCAUGUUCUACAAGCACAGGGAGAAGGCUGAGAAGUGCUGCUGGAGCCUGAGACAGCAGUGAAUUCUCCUGCAGCCGCAGGUUUGUUCUGUGUGGAACCUCCCAGCGCAGGAAUUCUCUGUGACACCGUGCUGGUUCCACCCAGAGCAGCUGGGCAAAGGGUGCAAUUCCCCCUGCAAAGGCUGCUGAGGACUGAACAAAGCUGUGAUUUAGGGGCUGUGCUGUGCUCCAGGUGCCCAGAGCAGAGCUGGAGUGCUCUGGGUACAGCAAUCCCCUCUGUCUCUGUGCCGGGGCUGCGCCAGGGCUCGGCGUGGCCGGGGUUAAUAAAUCAUUCCUGGGGAAUCUGGAGCUCUGCUCCCUGCCCAGGCAUCCACAGCCUCCCCUGGGCCUGCAGAGCCCUGGCUGUGUGCACAGGGCCUUGCUCAAGGCAGGAUGCUCCCAGUCCCUCCGAGCUCUUUAGGUGACCAUUCCAAGCGUUUGUGUCCCCGAAGGUGAAUCUGGAGUCUGGGAAGCCUCCAGGGGCAUCACAGUCCUGGAUCCCCAGGCAGUGAUGAGGGAUCUCCUUGGAUAUCCCCAGAAUUUUGUAUCUCUGAGCAUGAUUUUAAAUCUUUUCCGGAGAGAAGAGGAAAAAACCUUAAUGGAGCUCCGUGUUGAGCUUUGGUGUCAGAGA